GCACUGUCAGUGCAGAGGUGAGCCCAGGAGCCUGCAGGGCACUGUCAGUGCAGAGGUGAGUCCAGGAGCCUGCAGGGCACUGUCAGUGUGGUCUCUGCUGGGCUUCUUGUCAGUAGGAUAAACCCAGGCUGCCCCAGGAGAAGAUGGAGUUGGCUUCCAUUAGCUCUAGAAUUCUGUCAGCUGGGAAGAAUCUCAAAGUUUUAGGCAGAGUACUCCUUGGAGCCCAUGAGAGGACCAAAUAUUAAAGGCUAUGUGGAAAGGCAGGGGCUUUGAUGCCCUUUUCUUUGUGAAAACUAUAAAUGUUUACUUGAAGAGCCUCUACCCGAAGGUGGGCACCUGUAGACUUGGGAAAACAUUAUCCCAACAAAAUGAAAGGCCAGAUUGCGGUCAUGAUUCUCCGGAGCUUUCAACAGCAUAGUUAAACCAAACUACUUUUCCUCCCUCUGGCUUCCUUUGUUUUUCUCCAGCCCUUGCCCUUUGAAACAAACACUGUGCAGCACAGAACACAGUGUUUCCUGGGCAGUGUUGCAGGCUGCGAGCUCUGCUUAUUAAUCAUGACACAGGGCUCUGAGUGGUCGUACAUGGCUUCCUCUUGUGCCAUAUAGAUAUCUCUCUCUCUCUCUCUCUCUCCCUCUCCCUCCCCCCCUCUCUCUCUCUCACACCCACACACACACUCACACACAGUCACAUGCCCACACACUUAUACGCUCUCUUCAUUGUGUUUUGGCUUUUAUUACCUUUUAGAAAGUGACUAAGAGCAUUGUUCCUUAUCACAUAUGUUCAUGGGUUUCUCGUUGAUGUCCUUCAAGCUGUGAUGGUUUGGCAAGAGUGGUGUGGAAGUAGACAUGAAGAGGACACUUCAAUGGUGAAAGCCAGAAAGAUUCUUGCUGGAACUUACUUUAUAUUUACCAUUUAGGAUUUAUGUGUGUGUGUGUGUGUGUGUGUGUGUGUGUGUGUGUAUGUGUGUGUAUGUGUGUGUAUGGAGAAACAGCUGCAUAAAUGAGCUAAUCCAUUACAGAAGCUGCUCACUAGCCCAUGGCUGGGUCUAGGCAAGUUUAGCUGCUCUGAGGUUUGCCCUGGAGGUCAGCAUUCUGUCAUCCAGGUCUCGGCCACUCUGGGUCCCCCCUUUCCCUCCCCCCACAGCACAUUAAAUAAGCUGUGGUCACAGACAUAAUGUCAAGGAUCAAUGACCUUAAAACAAUGGUAGGAAAUCACAUUUCAUUGUUUAUUCCUUCUAGAACAUUGCUUUUUUUCAAGCCUGGGUACAGAAGUGCCUCAAGGUCCAGGGCAUCUUGACAGUUUGACAUGUUGAUGUGUGAGCAACACUAGGGCAGUGACCAUUAACACGGGGACCUCAGCUCCUUGUAAGCAUAAGUAUUGUCUGACUCAGAUAUGACAAGAACAGGAUCUCAAUAUUUCUUCUUAACUGGCCUAAAUUUAAUGGGCUAAUAAUAUAAUUAUUGGCACAAAUAUUAAUCAGUAGUAAUUAGUUAUCGAUGAUCAGCCUUAAUCUAUGACCUACUUACAGAUCAUGCUAUAUCUAGCUAUAAUAAGGGAGCAACUUUAGAUACCUUUUUUCCCACAGUGCAGCACCAAGACACACAUGCUAAAUAGUAACAAUCUGAGGUAGCAUGGCAGUUCAUGAAGGGUAAGGUGUGAGUUUAAUUAAUUUGAAUAAAAUAUACAUACCGUAGGCAUGGCAUCCAUUAUUUUAGUUCCUCCUAGGCCCUAGGUCUGUGUGACAAUCUGAUCUUGGCUCUAGAGUCAUUUUUGCUAGACAGCAUGCAGUUGUCUGUCUUGUUGAGUUUCUGAGCCUGACCACACCUGCUUCUAGGUCCAAUAGCCUUUGAGCCCAUUUCCAUCAGGGUAGCUCAAUGGUGUUCAUCAAUCCCAGAAUUCUCUUUCUGCCCCUUACAUCACAUAUUGAGAGGGUAGGUUGAGCAAAGGGUACUUACUAUACUGUUCUGUCACUACCUUUACUGAGGGCCUGGGUGAGACAAUAUUUGUUAAGUGAAUCCAAUCCCUUCAAUGGAUACAAGUAUUGUUUUCUUUUAAACUGUGUGUGUGACCACAGUCUCUGACAGAAAACAAUCCUUACUUGGCUCAUGGAUUCAGAAGAUUCCUGUCCAUCCUGGCAGGGACAGUUCAUCACAGCUAGAGAGUGUGGUGGGGGCUCUUCCUAUUACAGCAGACUAAGAAGCAGACAGAGGCCAACGUCAGAGCUCAUACACAACUCUUAAAGGCUCACCCCAGCAACUGACUUCUGCCCUGUAGGCAUCAUCUCCUGAAUGUUCCACAGCCUCCAUAAACAACACACACACACACACACACACACACGCACACGCACACACACACACAGAGGAGAGCAAUGCUGAAAAUAUGAACCUGGGGGGAUGGGAUGUCUCAGGUUCAGACAAUGACUAUAGAAAACGCUUUGCUAUCUCUAAACCUGGUGAGCGCAACCUCCCUACAGCAUUCUUAGCUUAAUUCUGUUUUGUCUUUGUUGAGAGGAAGCUGUAGAGGAGGGCUGGUUACUCCUCUCUUCCAUCCAUGCUUCUCUUCAAAGGCUCAUAGUGGGGAGCUAAGGCCACCCUGAUUGUGAGGUAUGCUGAGGGGGUGCAGCUUUCUCUUUAGGAGCAGUGCUGCCCAGCUAUAGAGGGGUGUGUGUGUGUGUGUGUGUGUGUGUGUGUGUGUGGUGUGUGUGUGUGUGUGUGUGUGUGUGUGUGUGUGUGUUGCUUGCUGCCAGAAGCCCUCAGCUGGCUGAGAAGAGGAAGAUAGGGAGGCAGGCCUAGGCUUCACAGCAGGAAACAUACAAGGUCAGCAAAUGAACCGCAGACUGAGUUCUCACAGCAGGAGGCGAGGGGACUCCCAGGGCUAGAGUGCUAGACUAUGUGAUUCAAAAGCAAAUGUCAACAUGGCGGUCAUCCAAGGCUUGGAAGCCUCCCAGAGGUAACUUAGGACUUGUGGUGACCUUUUACUGCAAGUCCAUGGCCUUCCAGUCACUAUGACCCCUGCUGCCAGGUCUUCUACAUGGCCCUUUCAGGCCCAGAGCCAACCAAUCAUAGGAUGUUUAUGCUCUGGCCCUGCCUCCUGAUCGACCUGGGGUUCUUCUGUGUGCCUGUGUCAGCUGGGCCAGGGGUGAGAGAAGGUGGUGAAGGAAAAGUGUGUGUGCACAGGGUAUCGGGCUUGGGCUUUUACAGACGUUGAUAGUAUUGGGCUUAGUGACCACAAUUCAAUUAGAAGCUCUACUCAGUCAUUCUGAGUGACUAUAUUCUUGCCAAAAACUGCUGUGUAAAGGCGGCUGCAUUUUUGUUAGUCCUGCCUGAUGGAUUUUUAAGUAUAUUAACCACAUACAUUCACACAAAGGGGGAAAUUUACUGCCUAAACAGAGGGCCUUGAAUUCCCCAGGCUAAAUAAACCCAAUGAAAACACGAGAACUGCAUUUACAGGGCCUCCUGAAGAUAAGAAUACAGCCUUUAGAAAUUCUUUCAAAUGAAAAAUGGAUGGCUGAGUUGCUCAUAGACCAGGAACCCAGGCAUUUAACUCUUCCCUAAUGUGUGGGGGACCUCAGAUAAGGUUUAGGAUGGAGAGUUUGUACCGCGGGCUUCCACGGGGUCUUGGGAAUUCAGCCCACUAUGAAGCCUCGGCCAUCUUGGCAAUUUCUGGUUUGUUUCGUGUGUGUGUGUGUGUGUGUGUGUGUGUGUGUGUGUGUGUGUGUGUGUGCGUGCAUGUGUGAUGUUGAGGGAGAGAUGCAGAGAAGGCCUGUGCACAUCCUCAGCUUCUUUUUGUGUAGAGUUCACUGAGGCUGAGGAACAGGACUCUCCCCUGGGCCUUGGUGGUAAGCAGGGGCACAUCUUUUUCUUAACCUUGGAGGAAGAGUGGGAAGUUAAGAAUGUACCCAAGGGGUCACCCCUCAUGUGUUUUCCCGCAGAAGCAGGUUACCCAUUAGGGCAAAGCAAGGCAAAGCUCUCCCCUGAAACACCCUCAGCCUUCUGACGAUAUUGGGGAACCCCAAGUUUUCCUCAGGAAUAAACCUCCCCAUUGUGUUCAGAAUACAUUACACGGUGGUUCAUGGAGUAACUUAUAGGUGGAUUUCAGUGUAAGCCGUGUCAGAAUUGUUUAUAACAUGGAUGCAGAGUGUGGGAUUUUUCAGUGAUAGGAUGGAUCUGUAUCUUGGGUGACAGAUAUGUGAAUGUGUGCUUAUCUGUCCUAUCUCACAGGACUGGAUCUUAACUAAUGGGGGCACUUUUUUUUAACUUCCUUUUAUCUUGAUACCACUUUGUGACCUAAUUAUCCAUCUAGACCACACCCCUUUCAAAAGAAAGAUGCCACAUGUCAACCCUAACCCACAAGCUCAAGAUGCCAGGAGAGCUGCUCGAGAAAAGGCAGAGAUGGUGCGUGUUUCUCUUGGGGUCAGAUGAUGUAAGUCUUCAGAUAGCCAUGGCCUUGUAUGGUUACGUGCAGGUAGGGAAACACCUAGCCUCAGUCUGACUCACCAGGAACAAGAUUAUCUCUCGGGAUGAGUCAGCAUCACAACUGUGUUCUGAGAAGACUCAUGUGCCUGGCGUGGUGAAAGGCCCAGAGCACCCACCAAUCAGGGCACCAGUUGCACGUCUCGCCAGCCCUAUUUGGACAAUGACAAAGGCAACCUACAGCUCUCUUAUUUCCCAGCACACUUGUAUUAAAGCCAAGCCUUCCUUCUCA